AAUCCAUGGUUCGGACAUUUCUUGAGUAAAGCCUUAUAUCUUUCCCAAGCUUCAUAGAAGUGUUCAUCUAGGCCUUGAGAAAAUGUUGCAAUAGAAGCUUUGACACU
rfam:Vigna angularis cultivar Jingnong 6 scaffold85_11, whole genome shotgun sequence.